rnacentral:rRNA from 1 species
AGGAGGAGAAAAUAAUAAUGAUUCCGUAAGUAGUGGCGAGCGAACGCGGAAGAGCCCAAACCGGAUAUGUUACGGCAUAUCCGGGGUUGUAGGACCUGCAUAAUUUUGAUUAAUCUGACGAGAAUUGUCUGGGAAGGCAAACGAUACAGGGUGAUAGUCCCGUAUUGGAAGGAUUGAGAAGAAGGCGGGUAUCCUGAGUAGGUCGGGACCGGAGAAAUCCCGAUUGAAACUGCCAGCACCAUCUGGUAAGGCUAAAUACUCCUGAGAGACCGAUAGUGAACCAGUACCGUGAGGGAAAGGUGAAA